rnacentral:rRNA from 1 species
UACGUAGGGUGCGAGCGUUGUCCGGAAUUAUUGGGCGUAAAGAGCUUGUAGGCGGUUUGUCGCGUCUGCUGUGAAAUCUCAAGGCUCAACCUUGAGCUUGCAGUGGGUACGGGCAGACUAGAGUGUGGUAGGGGGAGACUGGAAUUCCUGGUGUAGCGGUGAAAUGCGCAGAUAUCGGGAGGAACACCUAUGGCGAAGGCAGCUCGCUGGGACGUUACUGACGCUGGAGAACGCGAAAGCGUGGGGAGCAAACAGG